GAUGAACGCUGGCGGCGUGCCUAAUACAUGCAAGUCGAGCGAACAGACGAGGAGCUUGCUCCUUCGACGUUAGCGGCGGACGGGUGAGUAACACGUAGGUAACCUACCUAUAAGACUGGGAUAACUUCGGGAAACCGGAGCUAAUACCGGAUAAUAUUUCGAACCGCAUGGUUCGAUAGUGAAAGAUGGCUUUGCUAUCACUUAUAGAUGGACCUGCGCCGUAUUAGCUAGUUGGUAAGGUAACGGCUUACCAAGGCAACGAUACGUAGCCGACCUGAGAGGGUGAUAGGCCACACUGGAACUGAGACACGGUCCAGAGUCCUACGGGAGGCAGCAGUAGGGAAUGUUCCGCAAUGGGCGAAAGCCUGACGGAGCAACGCCGCGUGAGUGAUGAAGGUCUUCGGAUCGUAAAACUCUGUUAUUGGGGAAGAACAAACGUGUAAGUAACUGUGCACGUCUUGACGGUACCGAAUCAAAAAGCCACGGCUAACUACGUG
rnacentral:rRNA from 1 species